AGACUAGAAUAGCUGCAGGAUCAAUGAUAAGGUGUGCCUGGGUACUUAAGGAAAAGCUAACCGAAUUUACUGAUGGACUGGUGUAGGGUGAGAAAGGAGGAGUAAUCAAAGUCAUCGCCCAAAUUUAGGGUUUGAACUGGAAAACUGUAACAGAAAUGGUGAAGAGAUGGGAAUAAAUUACAAGCCCUGCUUUGGACAAUCAAUUCUGAGACAGCAAUUGUCUUGAACAAUCAUUCAAGCCUAACUAUUCUCCAAAAAAGAAGUGAAUAAACCACCUUAACCUUAAACCACCUGUUAAUAGGUAAUAAGUUUAAGCAAUCCCAGAACGCAGGAGGCAGAGGCAGGAAGAUCUCAGAGUUUGAGGCCAGCCUGGUCUACAGAGUGAGUCCAAGGAUAGCCAGGGCUACACAGAGAAACCCUGUCUGGAAAAACAAAAACAAACAAAUCUGAAGAAAGGACAUCAGUUCCCCGAGAGGCCGUAAAACCAGUCUGACCAGGUUGGCUGUCUCAGGUUGGCAGUAAAUACGGUUUAGCUGAGAUGUCUAUAAAGGGAAAGCUGCAGGUUAAAGAGCAUUUGAAAACUGUACAACAGAACAAAGCAGGUGGCCUUUAAUCAACUACAGAAGGCCAGCGUGAGCCUGUCUAUGUAGAAGGUGGAGAGCUGCCGCAGGGAAGAAGAGGGACUAAACUUGGCAGGUCUCUGCCGGAACAGUCUGAGAUCUAAUUAACUUCCAUUUCCUCGCUCUGUUGCAGUGUCUUUUAUAAGGGCUGCCAGGUACAAUGAAGGUUCUCUUACUGAAAGAUGCCAAGGAUGAUGACAGUGGCCAGGAUCCAUAUAUCCAGGAACUGCGAUUGUGUGGCCUGGAAGGUACACUGAUUCCUGUUCUGUCAUUUGAGUUUAUGUCUCUCCCCAGUUUGUCAGAAAAGCUGUCUCAUCCGGAAGGCUUUGGAGGACUCAUUUUCACCAGCCCCAGGGCAGUGGAAGCAGUGAAGCUGUGUUUGGAGAAGGACAAUAAAACUGAAGCCUGGGAGAAGUCUCUGAAAGACAGAUGGAAUGCCAAGUCUGUGUACGUGGUUGGAAGUGCCACCGCUUCUCUAGUGAAUAAAAUUGGCCUGGAUGCAGAAGGAGCGGGCAGUGGAAAUGCAGAAAAGCUUGCUGAAUAUAUUUGCUCAAAGCCAUCUUCAGAACUGCCUCUUCUCUUUCCCUGUGGAACUAUCAAAGGAGAUACUCUUCCAAAAAUACUCCAGGACAAAGGUGACUAGAAUUAGCUAAUGACACCCCCAGGAUGAAUGUCCUGAGACCAAGGAGGGAGACAUGACCAUGUACAGGCAGAGCUGGGAUGCAGCUGGGUCUCCUGAUGCUAAGCUAAGCCUUUCUUGAGAGCUGUCCUAAACCUGGCUGCCAGCAUGACUGUGGGAUAUACGGAGCAGCCAGGGUCAGAAUUGUGUGGACAAACUCACAUAGACAUGGGAGCCAACAGCAUGUGGAUUCCCAUGGAAAGCAUGCAUGUCUAUCAGACAAUUCCACACCCUGGAAUCCAAGGGAGCCUGAAGAGCUACUAUGAAAAUCAGGGUAUCCCAGCCAGCAUCACAUUUUUCAGCCCCUCCGGCCUUAAAUACAGCCUCGAGUAUAUUCAGGAGUUAUCUGGUGGCAACUUUGAUCAGAUUAAGUUUGUAGCCAUUGGCCCCAGUACAACUCGUGCUAUGGCUGCCAAGGGCCUGCCUGUGAGCUGCACUGCAGAAAGCCCCACACCACAAGCCCUGGCUGCUGGUAUCAGGAAAGUGCUGAAGCCAAACAACUGAUGCUGACUGAGGUCUGUGUCAAGCCAGCUCCUUCCCUGUGUGCGGGACAGCUUACUGCUGCCUCUGGGAUGGAACCCAGAAUCAGAGAAGAGCCCUGGAGAAGAUGCCUGUGAGCAUGUCACCAUCCUCCAUGGAGUCCAGCUUGGAACCUAGGCCAGGUUCACUGACCAUUAGACCCGGGGAGAAAGAGCUUCCUGUGCCUAGAAAGAAGGACAUGAAAUGGACCACAUGGUGAUGUGUGCUUGCUGCCCGCUCUUUUACAAACUGCAUUUCUUUUAUGUGUAUUGGUGUCUUGUCUGCAUGUACAUCUGUGUACCAUGUGCAUACCUGGUGCCUGGAGAAGCAAGGUGAGGGUGGCAGAUCCCUUAAAACUGGAGUUAGGGACAGCUGUGAGUCACUAUCUGGGUACUGGGACUUGAACCCAGGUCCUCUGAAGGAAUAAGUCCCCUCAACCACUGAGCCAUCACUCCAGUCCACUAUUAUGUGUGGUUCUUGGCACAAAGUAGUGUUCUGGGGCAACAGAACAUCAUAGUCUGAUGCUGACCUGGUAAGAAUGACAAAUGGCUAUGUAUGAAGUAGAUUCAAUCAUCAUACAAAAUAAAUAAAAUAAGACUGAACCAAGCAUGCAUGGUAGCACACUCAUCAACCCAGCACUGCAGGAAUAGAGACAGCAGUCAUGAAUUUAAGG